rnacentral:rRNA from 1 species
AAUCAACGCUGGCGGCGUGCCUAACACAUGCAAGUCGAACGAGAAAGUGGAGCAAUCCAUGAGUACAGUGGCGACCGGGUGAGUAACACGUGACCAACCUGCCCUCGAGUGGGGAACAACUCCGGGAAACCGGGGCUAAUACCGCAUAACAUCCUCGGAUCGGAAGAACUGGGGAUCAAAGGAGCAAUUCGCUUGAGGAGGGGGUCGCGGCUGAUUAGCUAGUUGGCGGGGUAAUGGCCCACCAAGGCAAAGAUCGGUAUCCGGCCUGAGAGGGCGCACGGACACACUGGAACUGAAACACGGUCCAGACUCCUACGGGAGGCAGCAGUGGGGAAUUUUGCGCAAUGGGGGAAACCCUGACGCAGCAACGCCGCGUGGAGGAUGAAGUCCCUUGGGACGUAAACUCCUUUCGACCGUGACGAUUAUGACGGUACCGGUGGAAGAAGCACCGGCUAACUCUGUGCCAGCAGCCGCGGUAACAC